GACGAACGCUGGCGGCGUGCUUAACACAUGCAAGUCGAACGGAAAGGCCCUGCUUUUGUGGGGUGCUCGAGUGGCGAACGGGUGAGUAACACGUGAGUAACCUGCCCUUGACUUUGGGAUAACUUCAGGAAACUGGGGCUAAUACCGGAUAGGAGCUCCUGCUGCAUGGUGGGGGUUGGAAAGUUUCGGCGGUUGGGGAUGGACUCGCAGCUUAUCAGCUUGUUGGUGGGGUAGUGGCUUACCAAGGCUUUGACGGGUAGCCGGCCUGAGAGGGUGACCGGCCACAUUGGGACUGAGAUACGGCCCAGACUCCUACGGGAGGCAGCAGUGGGGAAUAUUGCACAAUGGGCGGAAGCCUGAUGCAGCAACGCCGCGUGCGGGAUGACGGCCUUCGGGUUGUAAACCGCUUUCGCCUGUGACGAAGCGUGAGCGACGGUAAUGGGUAAAGAAGCACCGGCUAACUACGUG
rnacentral:rRNA from 1 species